rnacentral:lncRNA from 1 species
CCUGGUCAUCGACGUAUUGAUUCGCUCUUAGGGACUGGAGAUUUUCGACAAGGGUUUUCUUCCCCGUUGAGACGAGGUCCCUUGAACCUCGGAUGCAGCUCAUUAUUACUUUUUUUUUUGUGUAGCUUGUCGCUUUUUCUUCUUCUUUUUUGUGUUAGGGUGAGGGUUUUUCCUUCUGCUCCUAACGGGAUUGUAGGGGUGUAGAGGAGUUGCUGAGGGGCUUUUCCCUUCAUCCGAUCUCAAAUGACUAGAUCUUUGUUUGUGUUAGGACGAGAUUCUCCUCCUGUUCC